rnacentral:lncRNA from 1 species
UGUGAAAUGGAACAUGACAAAUUAACUGCAAAGAACACUGGGUAUUGUUUUGGGGCGGAGCUCACUAGAAUAAUACUCAUCCUACACAUUUAUAUUAGACCAUAGGGAGGUAAAGCUAGCUGGACGAGGUCCGUAGGGAGGUAAAGCUAGCUGGACGAGGUCCGUAGGGAGGUAAAGCUAGCUGGACGAGGUCCGUAAGUAGGUAAAGCUAGCUGGAUGAGGGCCAUAGGGAUGUAAAGCUAGCUGGAUGAGGGCCAUAGGGAGGAAAAGCUAGCUGGAUGAGGGCCGUAGGGAGGUAAAGCUAGCUGGAUGAGGGCCGUAGGGAGGUAAAGCUAGCUGGAUGAGGGCCAUAGGGAUGUAAAGCUAGCUGGAUGAGGGCCGUAGGGAGGUAAAGCUAGCUGGAUGAGGGCCAUAGGGAUGUAAAGCUAGCUGGAUGAGGGCCGUAGGGAGGUAAAGCUAGCUGGAUGAGGGCCGUAGGGAGGUAAAGAUAGCUAUAGCAGUGUGUAAGUUACAAGGAUGUUAUGAUGAUAACCAUCUCACAAGAUCCCUGUCAUGUGAACACAUUAUUCCCCUGACACUAAUAAAAUAUUACUUCCCCUUCUGCUGAGGCGAGGUUGUAGGGCCCAGAAUAACCCGCUACCUCAUCAGCACACACAUCCUAACCAUGUGAAAGGUCAGAAGAACACAGGCCAUUGCUCAAUAUGAAACAUCGCUGUUCUAGUGAGAUCCUUUUAACACAGCGAAACUGUACUGAACACUAAACUUAAAAGAGGUACAUUUUGUUUUCAGUGGCCUUUGAUAUACAGUUUAGCAAGGUUGUUUGGGGUCAAUGACAUUUCAAUGAAUGAAGUCAGUGGUGAAGACUCUGUUCCUUCUUGAACAACAGGAGAUGGAAGGCACUGGUUACUCUGAUGUCCCACUACCUCAUCAGCACUCACAUCCUAACCAGCUGAAAAGUCAACCAUGAGGAGAGCUCUAUCAGGCCAUUGGUGAGAGACUGAGAGUCAACAUUCUCGUGGGAUCCUUCUACCACAGGGAGAAUGUGUGUAGUGGGCGUUCCAGUGACCUAUGAUAUUAUUUAGCAGGGUUGGGGACCAAUUCUGUUUCCUUAUAUAAAAGAAAAUACUUCCUGAAUUGACUUGAAUUGAAAUGGAAUCGACUCCCAAACCUUCUGUUUUAAAAUGGUGUGUUUUAGUGACCUUUCCACAUACUGUUUCAUCUGUUUCGUUCUGACAUGACUGCGUACUCAGUUUUGUGCGCUGUAGCCUACCUGCACAGAUCGGGACUGAAGAUGUACAGUCUCUCCGUCUUGGACAGCAGGGGGUGGAAGGCACUGCCGUCUGUACCGUUGAUCAUAUUACUCUGCUCAGACGUCCACAGGCUCAGUUUACUGAAACACAAUGAUUUAUUUCUAAAUGUAACUCAAUUAAAGGAAGAAUCUAAUACCUAUAAAAUACAAAAGCACUGUCUAGCCCAAUGUUUGAUUGUUUAGGUUUAUACGACUUAUCAAACAAUGUAUUAAAUCAAAUCAAAUGAAAUGUUAUUGGUCACGUACAUAUAUUUAGCAGAUGUUAUUGCGGGUGUAUCGAAAUGCUUGUGUUACUAGCUCUAACAGUGCAAUAAUAUCUAACAAUUCACAACAAUACACACAAAUCUAAAAGUAAAAUUAUUAAAGUGACUAGUGUUCCAUAAUUAAAGUGACUAGUGUUCCAUUAUUAAAGUGACUAGUGUUCCAUAAUUAAAGUGACUAGUGUUCCAUUAUUAAAGUGACUAGUGUUCCAUUAUUAAAGUGACUAGUAUUCCAUUAUUAAAGUGACUAGUGUUCCAUUAUUAAAGUGACUAGUGUUCCAUUAUUAAAGUGACUAGUGUUCCAUUAUUAAAGUGACUAGUGUUCCAUAAUUAAAGUGACUAGUGUUCCAUUAUUAAAGUGACUAGUAUUCCAUUAUUAAAGUGACUAGUGUUCCAUUAUUAAAGUGACUAGUGUUCCAUUAUUAAAGUGACUAGUGUUCCAUUAUUAAAGUGACUAGUGUUCCAUUAUUAAAGUAACCAGUAAUUCCAUGUCUAUAUAGGGCAGCAGCCUCUAAGGUGCAGGGUUGAGUAGCUGGGUGGUAAUUGGCUAGUGAUGGCUGUUUAACAGUCUGAUGGCCUUGAGAUACAAUGUUAAUACACAUUUGUGCUUUAUCUUGUUAGGUUCUAUAACAGAGUAAAAAAAAACUCAUGGACAACUAGGGAAAGCUUGAACCAAGUUUAUUCACCCAAUGGGUCAGACAGCUGACAGCUGAACAGACAAAGACAUGUUCCCACCAGCACAAGUAUAUAUACCCCACUUUAGGUGUGGUAUAUAUAAGCAGGAAGUUAACUGAUGUGAACUGUUCCUUCUCAAUGUGACCCGGACCUAACCUCGGGCCCCAUUCCUCACUACUUAUCAGUGACAUAAACCAUGUGAUUGCCUUUCCUUUACUCAGUACAUUCCCCUGGCUCAUAUCCAACCUGAAUUGACCUCACGAUAUUCAAACGUCCUACAGAUAUCCAUUAACUUCUGGUGUAGAAACCAGACUGUGGUCCUUCUCCUUUCCAUAGGAUACCUGCUGUCUAACAAGAACAUGUUCUGACAGAAUGUAAACGUUCUGCAUUCCCCUCUCUCUCUCUCUCCGUAGCAUUGAUCAAGGAUAUUUCACACUUCAAGUUCAGAAGUCUGAAGCCAUCAAUCUAAUCAAAGGGGAAGAAGGAAAAGAUGCUGCCCUGCGUCCAUACUGAUACUCUAGCAGGACGUGAGAAGAUAGCUAACGAGAAGUUCUCAUUGAGUCUUUUCUAACAGGGCCAAAUACCAGAAUGUGACAAUCACACAGCUCUGUGUUCUGGCUAGGCUAGGGGCCUCUGGGGAGUCUCUCUCUCUCUCUCUCUCUGGUGCUGCAGACUCCUGGUCCACAUUCCAAAUGGAACCCUAUUUCCUAUACAGAGCACUACUUUGAAACAGGGCCAACAGGGGCUCUGGUCAAAAGUAGGAGCACUACAUAGAGAAUAGUGUGCCAUUUGGGAUGCAAGCCCUGUCCUCUGUUACUCUCUCGCAGUAUGUAGAAGGUCUUAGGAAACCUGUGGACUGUUCCAUUCCAGUCUUUUACACAAGAGAGUUACUUAAUGAUGGGUUUCUCAUCAUCAAACACAAGUGUUCAUCUAGGAGACGAUGUGCAGGUUACAGUAUGUAAUGUAGCAGACGGAGGAUGUGCAGGUUACAGUAUGUAAUGUAGCAGACAUAGGAUGUGCAGGUACAGUAUGUAAUGUAGCAGACAGUUAGAUGAUGUGCAGGUACAGUAUGUAAUGUAGCAGACAGACAAUGUGCAGGUACAGUAUGUAAUGUAGCAGACAGACGAUGUGCAGGUACAGUAUGUAAUGUAGCAGACAGUUAGAGGAUGUGCAGGUACAGUAUGUAAUGUAGCAGACAGUUAGAGGAUGUGCAGGUACAGUAUGUAAUGUAGCAGACAGUUAGAGGAUGUGCAGGCACAGUAUGUAAUGUAGCAGACAGUUAGAGGAUGUGCAGGUACAGUAUGUAAUGUAGCAGACAGACGAUGUGCAGGUACAGUAUGUAAUGUAGCAGACAGAUGAUGUGCAGGUACAGUAUGUACUGUAGCAGACAGAGGAUGUGCAGGUUACAGUAUGUAAUGUAGCAGACAGAGGAUGUGCAGGUACAGUAUGUAAUGUAGCAGACAGUUAGAGGAUGUGCAGGUUACAGUAUGUAAUGUAGCAGACAGUUAGAGGAUGUGCAGGUACAGUAUGUAAUGUAGCAGACAGACGAUGUGCAGGUACAGUAUGUAAUGUAGCAGACAGACGAUGUGCAGGCACAGUAUGUAAUGUAGCAGACAGAGGAUGUGCAGGUACAGUAUGUACUGUAGCAGACAGUUAGAGGAUGUGCAGGUUACAGUAUGUAAUGUAGCAGACAGAGGAUGUGCAGGUACAGUAUGUAAUGUAGCAGACAGACGAUGUGCAGGUACAGUAUGUAAUGUAGCAUACAGACGAUGUGCAGGUUACAGUAUGUAAUGUAGCAGACAGUUAGACGAUGUGCAGGUACAGUAUGUAAUGUAGCAGACAGUUCGAGGAUGUGCAGGUACAGUAUGUAAUGUAGCAGACAGAGGAUGUGCAGGUACAGUAUGUAAUGUAGCAGACAGAUGAUGUGCAGGUACAGUAUGUAAUGUAGCAGACAGAGGAUGUGCAGGUACAGUAUGUAAUGUAGCAGACAGUUAGAGGAUGUGCAGGUACAGUAUGUAAUGUAGCAGACAGAUGAUGUGCAGGUACAGUAUGUAAUGUAGCAGACAGAUGAUGUGCAGGUACAGUAUGUAAUGUAGCAGACAGUUAGAGGAUGUGCAGGUACAGUAUGUAAUGUAGCAGACUGUUACAACACAGCACUAUCUUUUGGAGUCACUUUCUUAUGAGGAUCCAGCACUCCACUUUUUUUUGGGGAAGAAUAAUCUGUGAGUGAGUAUCACGUUGUCUAUUAUCUAAGUUACAACACAGAAACAUGUGUGUCAUCGUGGGCCAAUAUGUUUCGGUACCUUUCCCCUUUAAACGUGGCUACCCUGCCGUAGUCCAUGAAGUCCGCCUCCCCGGUAUGAUAAACAAAUUCACCAUCGUUGCUUCCAUUUUUCUACAGAGUGGGAAAAUAAUGAAAAUCAUUUUAAAGUGUAUAUUUUAUUUUCUCAUAUUAUUAUUUUAUCACCGCACAGGACUUUAGGUGGCCACGGCAACCCCCAGCAGAUACAACAGGUUGCAGUGACCAUUGUAAAUCCAACGUCUCCUAGGCUACAGUACCCAAAUACUUAUUUACGGAACUUAGUGAGGAACUGAGUAGGU